ensembl:snRNA U6 U6 spliceosomal RNA
GUGCUCGCUGGGCAGCGCUGCUACUAAAACCACAACAUGCAGAGAAGAUUAAUGUGGUUCCUGAGAAAGCAUGACAUGGAAAUCCAUGAGGCAUCCCAGAUUUUU